AUUGAACGCUGGCGGCAUGCCUUACACAUGCAAGUCGAACGGCAGCACGGGAGCAAUCCUGGUGGCGAGUGGCGAACGGGUGAGUAAUAUAUCGGAACGUGCCCAGUCGUGGGGAUAACGUAGCGAAAGCUACGCUAAUACCGCAUACGAUCUAUGGAUGAAAGACGGGGGAGUCGCAAGACCUCGCGCGAUUGGAGCGGCCGAUAUCAGAUUAGGUAGUUGGUGAGGUAAAGGACUCACCAAGCCGACGAUCUGUAGCUGGUCUGAGAGGACGACCAGCCACACUGGGACUGAGACACGGCCCAGACUCCUACGGGAGGCAGCAGUGGGGAAUUUUGGACAAUGGGCGCAAGCCUGAUCCAGCAAUGCCGCGUGCAGGGAAUG
rnacentral:rRNA from 1 species